ACAGUCAUACUUCGCGGAUCAUUCUAUAGUGUGAUUGCCGAGUCCCUCGUCUAAGAAACUCGGAUCAAAAUUUAGCCUCGAUGAAGACCUUGAGUGUGAUUCUCUGAGCGGGAAGCUGCUCUUGAAUUCUUAAGAUCAUUGAUGACCGUUCUGGCUCGGUCUGCCGAAGUUCAGGGAGGAUAUUUGAGCUGAGUGGU
rnacentral:snoRNA from 1 species